UAGGGAAUCUUCCGCAAUGGACGAAAGUCUGACGGAGCAACGCCGCGUGAGUGAAGAAGGAUUUCGGUUCGUAAAACUCUGUUGUCAGGGAAGAAAAAAUGUAUAGUAACUAUAUACAAAAGAGACGGUACCUAACCAGAAAGCCACGGCUAACUACGUGCCAGCAGCCGCGGUAAUACGUAGGUGGCAAGCGUUGUCCGGAAUUAUUGGGCGUAAAGCGCGCGCAGGUGGUUUAGAAAGUCUGAUGUGAAAGCCCACGGCUCAACCGUGGAGGGUCAUUGGAAACUAAGAAACUUGAGUGCAGGAGAGAAGAGUGGAAUUCCUAGUGUAGCGGUGAAAUGCGUAGAGAUUAGGAGGAACACCGGUGGCGAAAGCGGCUUUCUGGCCUGCAACUGACACUGAGGCGCGAAAGCGUGGGGAGCAAACAGG
rnacentral:rRNA from 1 species